rnacentral:rRNA from 1 species
GAUGAACGCUGGCGGCGUGCUUAACACAUGCAAGUCGAACGAAGCAUUUAAGACAGAUUACUUCGGUUUGAGGUAUUUUAUGACUGAGUGGCGGACGGGGGAGUAACGCGUGGGUAACCUGCCUCAUACAGGGGGAUAGCAGCUGGAAACGGCUGGUAAUACCGCAUAAGCGCACAGUACCACAUGGUACAGUGUGAAAAACUCAGGUGGUAUGAGAUGGACCCGCAUGUGUCUAGCUUGUGGGCGGGGUAAGGGCCCCCCAAGGCGACGCACAGUAGCCUACCAGAGAGUGUUACCCGCCACAGUGGGACUGAGACACGGCCCAGACCUCCACGGGAGGGAGCAGUGGGGAUUAUUGCACAAUGGAGGAAACUCACAUGCAGCGGCGCCGUGUGAGUGAAGAAGUUGUUCGCCAUGUAAAUCUCUAUCAGCAGGGAAGAUAGUGACGGUACCUGACUAAGAAGCUCCGGCUAAAUCCGUG